ACAAGCGGUGGAGUAUGUGUUUAAUUCGAGGAUACACGAAGAACCUUACCAGGUCUUGACAUACCAUUGACCGGUCUAGAGAUAGACUUUUCGCUUUCGGGCGACAAUGGAUACAGGUGGUGCAUGGUUGUCGUCAGCUCGUGCCGUGAGGUGUUGGGUUAAGUCCCGCAACGAGCGCAACCCCUAUUGUUAGUUGCCAUCAUUCAGUUGGGCACUCUAGCGAGACUGCCGGUAAUAAACCGGAGGAAGGUGGGGAUGACGUCAAAUCAUCAUGCCCCUUAUGACCUGGGCUACACGCGUGCUACAAUGGUUGGUACAACGAGUUGCGAGUCGGUGACGGCGAGCUAAUCUCUUAAAGCCAAUCUCAGUUCGGAUUGUAGGCUGCAACUCGCCUACAUGAAGUCGGAAUCGCUAGUAAUCGCGGAUCAGCACGCCGCGGUGAAUACGUUCCCGGGCCUU
rnacentral:rRNA from 1 species